GCCCCUCGACUCGCACCGGAUGCAAUGCGCCGUCGCGCGCUAGUCCUGGCCUCCGGGCCUCGACACCCUUUGUUAUCCUUGCCAUGCCUAUUCGAAACACGAGAGAUAUCACAACCAGUAGCGUUGGAUCCCUUGGCACGUCAUUCGAUGAAGACCGUUGCAAAAUGCGAUAAGUGGUGUGAUAUGCAAGUCCAAAACUUAUACGUGAACCAUCGAAUUGUUGAACGCACUGCAUCGAGCCUUACCCAGGAACGAUACGCCCCAUUGAGCGUCAUUAUGUCUUCGCGACUCGUCUUCUUAUGUCGACCUGUCCGGGUUCGGGAUUCACGGCCUCGGCCGCGCUUCCUCAGAUGCAUGGACGCGCCGGAACGCACGGCGACCUUGUCAUGAAUGUCGAGGCAGCCGUCGUGUCCCGGYGCGCGAUCCUCCGCUCGGCGGGGGACCAACCGCAGUCCGCUGCACCUUCUCUACAUGACCUCACGGGGGUGGGACGACCCGCUAGACUUAAGCAUAUUAAUCAGCGGAGGAAAAGAAACUAACAAGGAUUCCCCUAGUAACUGCGAGUGAAGAGGGACGAGCUCAAUGUGUGAAUCGUGUCGGGAUUAGCCCCCUUCUCGAGUUGUGCACUAUAGACGCCGGAUCAGCGCUGGAAGGAUCGAGGUGGAUGUCCGAUGAAACUCGGUGCCAUUGAGGGUCAUAGUCCUGUACUUGCCUUGUCAUCCUUUGCGCCUUUGACCGGUGUUCUGCGAGUCGCGUAGUUUUGUAUUGCUGCGCUAAUCGGGAGGUAGAGCCCUUCUAAAGCUAAAUAUGAUGACGUGACCGAUAGCACACAAGUACCGCGAGGGAAAGGUGAAAAGCAACCAUGCAGAAUGGGUUGAAACAGCAGUGAAAGCGCUACUGGGAUAAGGGCUGGGGAUUGCUUGUGUCGCUUGCGCGUGCUUUAGUGCUGUGCUUGUGAACGGCAUGCUUCCGUUCGGACGGGGAGAAGAGGGCCUCGGGAAUUCGGCGGAUCCGUCCA
rnacentral:rRNA from 1 species